rnacentral:rRNA from 1 species
UACAGAGGGUGCAAGCGUUAAUCGGAAUUACUGGGCGUAAAGGGCGCGUAGGCGGCCACGCACGUCCGUUGUGAAAUCGCCCGGCUCAACUGGGCGGGGUCAGCGGAUACGGUGUGGCUCGAGCAAGCUAGGGGGCAAUGGAAUUCCCGGUGUAGUGGUGGAAUGCGUAGAUAUCGGGAGGAACACCAGUGGCGAAGGCGGUUGCCUGGAGCUUUGCUGACGCUGAUGCGCGAAAGCGUGGGGAGCGAUCCGG